rnacentral:rRNA from 1 species
UACGGGGGGGGCAAGCGUUGUUCGGAAUUACUGGGCGUAAAGGGCUCGUAGGCGGCCAACUAAGUCAUACGUGAAAUCCCUCGGCUUAACCGGGGAACUGCGUCUGAUACUGGAUGGCUUGAGUUCGGGAGAGGGAUGCGGAAUUCCAGGUGUAGCGGUGAAAUGCGUAGAUAUCUGGAGGAACACCAGUGGCGAAAGCGGCUUCCUGGUCCGACACCGACGUUCAGGCACGAAAGCGUGGGGAGCAAACAGG